AAGUCGGUGGGGUAACCUUUUAGGAACCAGCCGCCUAAGGUGGGACAGAUGAUUAGGGUGAAGUCGUAACAAGGUAGCCGUAGGAGAACCUGCGGCUGGAUCACCUCCUUU
rnacentral:rRNA from 1 species